rfam:Danio rerio chromosome 10, GRCz11 reference primary assembly.
UGCCUAUUUAAUUGUAAGUCACUUUGGACAAAAGUGUCUGCUAAAUGACGUAAA